rnacentral:lncRNA from 10 species
AUGGAGACUAUUUUACCUUUACAAGACAUGAACCCAUUGGAGUGUGUGGACAGAUCAUCCCAUGGAACUUCCCCCUGCUGAUGUUUGCCUGGAAAAUAGCUCCAGCUUUGUGCUGUGGCAAUACAGUAGUUAUUAAGCCAGCAGAGCAAACACCACUCAGUGCACUCUACAUGGGAGCCCUCAUCAAGGAGGCUGGCUUUCCUCCCGGGGUCAUCAAUAUUUUGCCAGGAUAUGGGCCAACGGCUGGGGCAGCAAUAGCUUCUCACAUUGGCAUAGACAAGAUUGCAUUCACAGGGUCUACUGAGCACAUCUCUUCAGACUAGCCACAUUUCACGUUCUCCAUUGCCAUGCGUGCUACCGUAUUGGACAGCACAGAUCUAGAAACAUUUUAUCAGUUGAUACAGAGUUAAUUAUACUUGGUUAAACUGACUCACAGUAGUAAAUUUAAUAAAAGAUUUAUUAAUAAACUUGAAUA